CUAGUUAAAUAAAAAUAUGGCCCAAAAUAUCUCGUCAAUCUCGAACUACCUUCUACCCUCAUCGAACUCACCACUAUCUCGUAAAUCUCCUUCUUUACCUUCUUCCCCCAACAUGUUCACCUAAACAACCCUCCAUUCUUCUCUCCGUCGAACUCAGAAACCUUCUUUCUCUCAAUCGUCCCCUCUUUGAACCCUAGAACUCAGAAUUUCCAAAAUUCAAUUGAAACCCUGUUACCGAUUCAAUCCGUAUCAAACCCUAAAACUCAAUUGAACCCAGAACUCGGAAAUUGAUUGAUUUGUUUCCCAUAAAUUGAAACCCUAAAACCAAUAUAUUUGUACAAAUGGUUUUAUGUGAAAGUUGGACUGUUCAUUGCUUCGCAAAAAGUGCUUCUGAGAGUCUGUCUUAGUUAACACUGUUACAAUAUCUUGGUGAGUUUUUAAUGCUUUUUAUUUUUUAUUUUUAUGGUAUGUACAAGCAUGUUUUUUUUAUUACAUGAUUUCACCAGUAUUUUCUCUAUGCUUCAUACUGAUGUUAAGUUUCAUUUGUAUUACACACUACUCGUUUUUUUUUUUGUUUUUUUAUUUAUUUAACCACUAUCAAUAUUUCCUGCAUGAUUAUUUUUGGGAUGAAUUAGUGUUGAUGACUAGCUUCCAAAUGUAGAAAAUAUUUAUAGUUGUUUGGUAAUUUGUCAUUUAGACUGUAUAUUCAACUGAGUUGUAAAAUGAUUUAUUAGUCUGUAUUUUCUUUUAGCAGAUAUUCACUUCUAACUCUAGCAUUAGAGGCCAUUUGUCACCCAAUCUACCCAUUCCGAUGGCAGGUAUUCAAUCUUUUACUUCUGAACUCCUGUCUGGAGUUCCAUUUCCAUACUGUUUUUAUGGUUCCAUGUAUCUACGAUAAAUUUUAAGUUCUUGAUUCUCCUAUCUUCUUAGACUUGGCUGACAAGGACAUGAAGCAAUUUAAUACUCUAUUUAAUGAGGUAAUUCAACUUACUUAACGUGGAUCUUGAGAUGAUGAUUAUUGGGUCAUUCAAUUUUUUUUUAUAACUUAAGCUAGUUAUAGAGUGCAGUGGCUAUGUGUUUUGCAAUAUUAUAUAGCUUAUUUUAUGGCAUUAGUCAUCAGAUUGUUGAUUUUCAAAGUUCAAAUGAGAAUUUUGAUUUACUUAGAAGUUGUAUGGAGUGUUUGAUUUAGUUUAUAUUACAAGUAUUUUAUUUAAAUUGAUUUUGUUAAUAAAUGAAUUGUAGUCAGGCCUCAAAGCAAAUGACGAAAUAACAGAUUCUUUUUUAAUUGUGAAAUUGUUUAGCAUUUUCUUGUCGUGAAAAUGGGGCUUUAGCCACUUGAAUAUUCCUCCAUGCCUUCUCUGUGAGUGGUCGUGCGAUCCCGGGGAUAUUUUGUCAAGGUAUUUUUGUCAUUGUUGUUGUAUUUUCGUUUGCCUGCAAUUCUUUCUGCAGUGUAUUCUAACAGUUCUAGAUUUUCUGAUGAGUUUUUGUGCUGCUAUUCCUUACUUUUGAGCUGUUUUUUGCUGUUUUUUUUUGUGCCUCUGGUAUGCAAUUAUGUGCUUUCUGUCGCCUCUUGGUAUAUAGCUAUUUGGG
rnacentral:lncRNA from 1 species